GUGGGGAAUAUUGGACAAUGGGCGAAAGCCUGAUCCAGCCAUGCCGCGUGUGUGAAGAAGGUCUUCGGAUUGUAAAGCACUUUAAGUUGGGAGGAAGGGCAGUAAGUUAAUACCUUGCUGUUUUGACGUUACCGACAGAAUAAGCACCGGCUAACUUCGUGCCAGCAGCCGCGGUAAUACGAAGGGUGCAAGCGUUAAUCGGAAUUACUGGGCGUAAAGCGCGCGUAGGUGGUUUUGUAAGUUGGAGGUGAAAUCCCCGGGCUCAACCUGGGAACUGCCUCCAAAACUGCAUGACUAGAGUACGGUAGAGGGUAGUGGAAUUUCCUGUGUAGCGGUGAAAUGCGUGGAUAUAGGAAGGAACACCAGUGGCGAAGGCGACUACCUGGACUGAUACUGACACUGAGGUGCGAAAGCGUGGGGAGCAAACAGGAUUAGAAACCCGAGUAGUCC
rnacentral:rRNA from 1 species